rnacentral:rRNA from 1 species
AUGAACAUUGAAUUACAUUUAUUAGGCCCCCAUGACUGCUGUGCAAUAUGCGAGCUUGCUCGGCUGGAGCAGAGUAGAGCACGUUCAGGGCAGUCCAACAUGACCUGGUCGGAGGAUGCUGGCCAUGUGCAAGCCCAGGUUAAGGACGCCGGCCACGAGCAUGAAGCCCACAACCUCGACCAGGCGAUCACGGCGUGUACUGUUGCCGAGGCGAAGCAUGGCCAGACCGAGCUUGACGGUGACGAGAAAGCAGUGGCGGAGCCAGCUUGGCCGGCGAGCCGGCGCAAAGUACACGGAGCUGUUGUCUCUCAGUUGUUUGCCCCUAUAAAAUGGUGA